CACCGAGAGAGGAAGACAGCCUGAGAGAAGACGAGGGGAACCUAUCUGCUCAUCUGUCUGUCCGCCGUCUUCCUCUGGGCGUCCGCAAGCUCUGAGGAUUUCUGGAGUGGAUCGCCAACAAGCAAGACCAUGGGAUAUGAAGAGGCCACAUGACAGAGGAGUCUUCAUCCAGUCAAACUCUCCUGAUUCUCUCGCUGCCAUCUAAUCUCCUCACACCAGUGAUCGUUUGCCUCCUUGGGUGGUUAAACAAUGCAUACUUUUGCAGGAGCUGACUGACCCAACAUUCGGUGACAAACCAACAGGUGUUUAAAUACUGGACCGCACACCCGUCAAUCAACAGCUGACACCCGGAGAUCACCACUUGGACUGGCAUAUCCCUACCUGCAUG